CUACGUGCCAGCAGCCGCGGUAAUACGGAGGGUGCGAGCGUUAAUCGGAAUAACUGGGCGUAAAGGGCACGCAGGCGGUGACUUAAGUGAGGUGUGAAAGCCCCGGGCUUAACCUGGGAAUUGCAUUUCAUACUGGGUCGCUAGAGUACUUUAGGGAGGGGUAGAAUUCCACGUGUAGCGGUGAAAUGCGUAGAGAUGUGGAGGAAUACCGAAGGCGAAGGCAGCCCCUUGGAAAUGUACUGACGCUCAUGUGCGAAAGCGUGGGGAGCAAACAGGAUUAGAUACCCUGGUAGUCCACGCUGUAAACGAUGUCGAUUUGGGGGUUGAACUUUAGGUUUGGCGCCCGUAGCUAACGUGAUAAAUCGACCGCCUGGGGAGUACGGCCGCAAGGUUAAAACUCAAAUGAAUUGACGGGGGCCCGCACAAGCGGUGGAGCAUGUGGUUUAAUUCGAUGCAACGCGAAGAACCUUACCUACUCUUGACA
rnacentral:rRNA from 1 species